AACUAAGCCAUCUGCGGUGUUUCCUUUGGGGAGCUUGACUUAUUAACGAUCGCUGACAUCACAGUUCAUUUUAUUGAGUAUACCAACUUGGUAUUUUUACAUCAGCUAAACAGAGGCAGCGUUUGGCCGAGCUGGAGGGACGGGGGUUCGCCGCCUCCACCCACUCCAACACUUGUGUUAGUUUUGGCACAGGGUUGCAUAAUUCUUGGCAAAGGCAAUAAAAAUGAAGCAUGCAGAUCGACUCUUGACUCUCGCUGGCUGAAAGGUUUAAAUAGGAACACAUCUGAAUGGCAGUAAAUUUUUCAAUAAGCUUAUUGUGAACUUCAACUAUCUGCUUGCCAACAGCACAGAAAACGAGACUUGUGCGUGGACAUUUAGCUAUUUCCAUACACUCUGUUGGUGACACUUACAUCAUAGCAGGUAGCAGCAUUGGAGCUUCUCAAAUAAUUUUACAUUUAAUUUCUCAAACGUACCAGAGUUAGACAUAUUCUUUCUUAAGAGAUGACUUGAGAACUUACCUGUAUGUAGCCUGCUUAAGGCUUGUGAUAAUCUAAAACAUUUCCCAGACAUUUCUUUUAAAGCUUGUGUUUGGCUCUGCUCAAUACAGAAAUUAAUUACAGCAACUAAAAUCAUUCCAGACACAUGCCAGAAAUUUAUUUUGCAUAGUGAGUUUUUCAUAAUCAUUUUUGUGUAUAAAUGAACAUAUAUUCAUAUAUGAUGUAUAUAUGGAGUUGUACACUUAUAUAUCCUUAAAGGGAAAAAUUACCUUGAGAUUUUAGAUGUGGUGAAUUUAAAGCAAUUUUGAAUUUCAGAUCAGAUUUGCUGGGUAAGCUUAACAGUAUUCUAAUUGCUGCGGUGCUUCUCAGCACAAAACAAACUUGAAAAUGGAGAGAACUUUUCAAGGGAAGCAGGUAAAGAAACCCCUGAAGGUUGGGCUAAUACCUGAGUUCACUAACCAAGUCAGACAGGCGAACAUAUGAAGUCAUGAGCACGUUUUGUGCAUAAUGAACUGAAGCUGUGCAGCUAUAAUGAACCAGGCACCUUGCUGUCCUCUGAAUCAUACAGAACUGUCUCCAGAAGGGUUCAGUGGGGAUCUCUAGGAUGGGCAGAUAGGAAGCUAGAGUGGGUGGGCCUUUACAUGGAACCACAAACGUCCAAGAAACCUCUCAUCAUCUCUGCCCACCAAUGGGCUGCUGCCAGGACAAAGGCACUACCAAAGCCUCCUGGGCUGCCGCCAGCUGGGGGCCACCUCUCCCCAGCGCCACAAGCCAGUGAGCCAAUUAGACGGUGUGGGGGACCUUGCUCACUGUGCACCUGAUGGGCCGGGCACAGGGCAGGAUGUUGCUGAAUGGCCCAAGGAAGUCAGAGAUUGGUUUUGUUUAUUAAAGUUGGGGCUUGGGGAUCUUAGAGUGGUGAACUCUUCUCUAUACGAUCUCUUUUUGGGGGUUCGCCUGCCAGGAGGAGCAAGGCUGAAGAGCUGUCCAGAGGCUUUUCUUCUCCUUAAGCCUGUGAAAUAUGUGAGCUGAAAUGUAAGGUCUCAGGACAGAAAAGUUCUCUUACAAAACCAGGGCAGGAGGUAUCUGCAUAAUCAUAUGGAGGCUGGGAGAAUGAGCCUGCAAACCCCUGAAGUUUACCUAAGGUUUGUUGGGCAACUUCAUGAAAAACAUAGGGGCAAAAGUUCCAUGAAAAUCGUUAGUUUUCUCCAAGUCAUAUGGUGGCCCUGGCCAUGGAGCUAGACCCUGCUGGCCUGGUCUCACCAGGGUCCAGAGAGUGGUGUGCUCUCAGGCAGGCCAGGAAGAACCGGAGGAGGAGGCCUCCGCAGCUGCUGACAGGAGCUCCAGGGCAGGAGUGGCCAGCAAGGAAGGUGGCACCGGAAAUAAUCAGACACUCUCCAAACCACCCCUGCAAGCACUGAACCCCCGCUGAGCCUUUUCCCCCUCACUUCUGCCCAUGGCAGUGUUUGCUGCUCCUAGAGCCGAGGACAGGCGGGCCCCUGGGGCUUCUCAGUCAAGUCCCUAGUGCUUAAGCAGAGUUGGGAUUGGCCACACCUACCCCUGCCUCCCUGGCUUUCAGCCCACGCCAGGCCAGGCUGCUUCCUGGGCUGGCAGGUCAUGAUAGGUCUUGGUGACCAGGAAGACCUCAGAGUAGCCGCCAGGAUACUGGUAAAGGCUGUCUGGCUCCCCCGUGGCCCUGCCCCUCUUGGAAAGCCCUACAGUGCGGGUGGAUACCUCUAGCUGGGACGAGGUCCACUCCAGCCAAGUUUUGGGAUGGUAGUGCGACAGCCGCUCACAUCCUUCUCUCUUGGUGUUCUAGAACUCUGAGGCUGGCUGCAGACCCAGGGUGCUGAGCUCAGGGCCUUCUCUCGAGGGUAGGGGCUGGAGUCCCCUGGGCCAGGCCUGCCUGCGGAUGGUUAGUGGUUGCUGUGGGGGCUGGGAUUCCCCACCACAGCAUGUGUAAGCCAGGUUUUUAACAUUUAGCUCAAUCGUUUACUCCUGGGCAGGGGCCAGGUGUAUGGAUUUUACUGUUUGAAGAAGGGGAGGUGGAUGGUGGAUGGUUGCUAACAGGGAGUUAAUUGGUUCUCCCAGAUGUGGAUACGCCCCUCUCUGUCUGGCAUGAGUUUGGUUUGCUCUCUGUCCAGGUUGUUAUCUUGUAACAUCAGUGAAAUCAACAGUGAGGGGGCAGGUCUUCUAGAGGAAAAGUCUUUUGACAUCUCAGAGCCGCCUGGAAGCUGUGGAGUAACAGAAAUCAACCUGCUUUGCAGACUGAGAGGAGCGGGUCCAUUGUAACAUGGAAUGAACAUUUCCUUGACCAAUUCCUUUUUCUGCACAUUUUAAUUUCUGUAUAUGUUUAACAUACUUUUGCAUAUCAUUUUUCACCAUAGUCUCACUUCUGAGAUUGAGACCAGGUUUAUCUAUUUCAACCUGGUUUGUCUAUGUCAACAUUUUUAAAAAUGUGAUUGUAUUUGAGCUCAUCCUUGAGUUCCAGCACAUUGACCAUUUCUUUCUGAAGGCCUGGCUGGUAAAACUUCUGACUGCGCAGUACCAAGCCCUCAUCCCUUCCUCAGGCCUGUCCUGCUGCUGAAAGACCCUCUCUCCUGCACACGGCCUCUUCGCGGUACCACCUCACCUUCCAGGAUUCCUCUCUGGAACGAACAUGCUGUUUGUGAUUUGCUUUUUAAGGCUAACCACAAAAAUAUGCAUUACGUUGAACCAUAUGAAAUUGCUAUUUUUUAGGUUAAAACUUAUCAAAUACCAGAAAUUUCAGAUGGUUCAACUUCUUAUCUUGGGGAAUUUCCAAAGACAGGUUAGUAGCUAGGUAGCUGUUGAAGUAUUUCUGCCAAGGGACAGUGAAGCUGCCUUUCCCGACCGGGUGUCCGGAGGUCCCCGGGGCUGCCUCAUUGUGAGGUUGGGACAGGUGGGAUUUCCCAGUGGGAGGGCGCUGAGGCUCUGGAAGGAAGCCUCAUUGUUCUGCUGAAGGGAUUAAGAGGAAAGCUGAGCUGUCCAGUGAAGCAUAUUCUAAUUUCUCGUUCAAGUGUUGUUUUAGUCAGGUCAUUUCCUAAAAUAAAAUUAGUCAAAGUUUUCUUGGUUUGGGGUUUUUUGGCUUUUUUGGUUUGCUAUUCUGGUUUUUUUAAAGUGUCAACAAAAUCCAUUUUCUAGCUACUGUGUGACCGAGGGCUAGCAUCUUGUCGUACAACGUAGCUUUUUAAGGAGGUAAUUUUUUCCCAUAAGCCUCUCGCAAGGGUCAGCUUUGUAUUUAUUUCUAAUUCAUUUUUCCUCAAGAAAUACUUAUUUAAUGAAGCCAUUAUUUUUGAAAUACAUUUUUACUUUUUUCUUUUAUAAUGAAAUAUCAUUUAAACUUUGAACACUCCCUGAUUUCUUAGUGUUUAUUUAUGAAAAUGUUUAGCUUCUUUAUAUAAUGUGCCUUCUGGAGAAGCUGUAGGGGUCAGCAGCCAAUGCAGCUACAAGAAAUCCUUUCUACCUUAGUUUGCCAAAAGCAGCUUUUUACAAUGAGUUCAAGAAAAGCAGACCUACGGAAAGCGAGGAUGGACUUUCAGAUACAGAACCCAUCUGGGCACGUCCUCAGGUCCCUGAGCCCUCCCACCCAUGGAAACCCUGCCAGCAGGUAUGGCUGACCCCAGGCUGCUGAGGGAGGUCCUGCCAAGGCAGGACCAGGCCUUGGGGCUGCCCACGCGAGACUGUGGGGAGCCUAGCUGGGACCCCAGCCUUCUCACAGUUGAAGGUGUUCAACGGACGAGUUCUGAGUUUUCUUUGUAAAGUGACUGCAAUGUUCCCUUUUAAAUGAAAUAUUUAACACUUUAAUAAUUCCUUCGUCACAGCUAUUGGCUUACAGCUAUGAAAUCCAGUUGCAUGACAGCAGUAAAAUCUCCCUUUUUUAACACCUGCUGGUAGAAGUAAGUUUUUGUAACUUCUAUUAUAGAGCCUCAGAAAGGAUUCAUAUUUUUGUAUUUUUGUGUCUCCAUCGAAUUCCUCAUUUCAAAAGCGCCUCUAACAAAAGCCCUGCCCCAGAGUUAAGGGAAAGGGCCUUCAGGGUGAAUUCGUUAAGGUUCCCACCGUGUCCUGGAAGAUGGGCCCUCUUUGCUGGUGCUUCUAGUGAGGACUGCUUGGGUCCUGGAAGGGGCAUGUCCCGGGAGAGGAUGACGAGGGAGGAGAGGAGAAGAGAGUGGCGUCAUUACUUGGGUCCUCACCGGAGCCAGCCCUUUAAGAUUAGAAAUCCUUCUUGAAGAGCCAAGCAAAGGCUCAUCCAGCCCCCUACAACCCCAUCCUGCUGCCUACUCACAUCCAGGAAAGAGCCCACCCCUGAUGGGUGCCCAAGUAGAUGGCCUCCCCUGGAAAGAGGCAUAUUAGCCCUCCUCACCCGAGGGUCCUAGGGCCCGUUUGGGUGUUCUUAAAAUGUGCCUUAUAAGUCGUGAUCCAGCCUGAGUUUUUCUACAGAGACACUGCAGCCAAGAGGGGAUGUUUUUCUUGUAGCUUCCACAUAGAUCACGGCAGCACGCAGGCUUUGUCCUUUCAGCACUUUGUACCGAUAUUUUCCCUGAACUUAAGAAAAAAAUUACCAAUUGAAAGAGAAGAGAAUAGCUAAAAUAGGAGAUGCAUUUGCCACCACGUGUGGGUGGCCACCGCUGUUCCCCUUGAUUUUAAACGAGGGCUCAUAAAUAUUGUUGACCUUGCUGAGAUAUUACCUGGUGGAGCUGGAAGGUUUGUAAACCUUCUUCCGAUGCCCGUUUAUUGAUUAGAACAAGCUAACAACACUGCACUUAAGUGGAAAAAACAGCUGGUAAAAAUGUAAUUCUUUCAGCCUUAGGGCUGCUGUGCUCCUUUUCUGGAGAGCAAAUGUGGAAAUCAAGAUCUGUGGCCUUCUGGAACCUUCACCAGGAAAGGUGAAAAGAAGAAGAACCCAUCCACAGCUGAGAGUGGAUGGCAGGCCCGCGGGUUUCCAGGUGGCCAGUAGGAUUGUCCGAUGUCUGGAAUGAGUACCGGGGCCGCCACCAGGAACACUUGUCAUUUCUACCAUGGAGAGGAAAGCCCAGUGCAUUUCUGUGGUUCAGAAACUUGACACAAAGAGAAAAGCUGGAAUGUUUAAAAGCAAAAAUAGGGCAGAGAUCAGUGAAAGUGCAGGAUGUGUGUGAAACAAGGGUAGAGUGAGCACUGGUGGGGAUGGAGGUGGUGAGGGGUCUUCUGAGCUGGGGACGUUUACUUACACCAGCCCUGCCUCCCAAGAACCCAUCCCCUGUGGGUCCAGAAGACCAGAUCCCCGCCAAUGUCCUUCCCUUUCAGAGCUGUCUGGAGGAGCAUGCCACUAGUUCCCAGGGUCUCAUCUGCCGGCACACGGCCUGACUUUCAUGGGAAGUCCCCAUUGAUGCUGUUCCCUUCCCAGUGAGUGGGCUCCCGUCACCCGUCCUGGCUCAUUUGAAUACCUGCAUCACCUCCAGCCCCUCAGCAGAACAAGAAUGUCAGAUAAUCCAGAAUGCUGUUGAGAGCUGCUCCAGGUUGGGGGCUCGCAGCCCCAGCAUCCAAAAGCCUGGUUUCAGCAGGGCAUGCCCGCAGAGCCCCUAGGCGCCCCGAGCUCUCCUGGUUUGCCCGGGCUUUGCCUGCACGGGCUGGCCCCGUGGACUGCCUGGCCAGGCCAGCCCAGUAACAGCGAAGCACACCACUCUCAGCUCCUGAGCUUGGCUGACCAGCUAUACUCUGGCAUAUUGGUGAAUUUCAUGGGCCAAAGAACCUGAGGUUCAGAUUGUGUCUUAGUUCAUUGUUUCAUAUUUGAAUAUGCAGUUUCCUACCUAGCAAUUGUCAUGAGUACUUUCUUGCUGUUUAUACUAUGAACAACAUCUUGGGCUAGGAGAGAGUUUUUAAAGUUUCAACAAUGAUUCAUUCAAGCACUUUCCUUUUUCAAGUUACUCAUAUCUCAGUUCAUUCAAUGGGGUUGGGGGAUUUAUAUCAGAAUCCUCUAGACAUUUCAUUUAUAAUAUUCUACCUAUAAAUUUUUAUACUUCUUACCCCUCCUCAAGAUACACUAAAACCUUAGCAUGGGCACACGCACACACAUACCCUGUUUCUGAGAAUUAUUGUUCUAAAGGAAUUUAUCAAAAUGGAUGUAGCUCCUAUGAAUGCUUUUGCUGUGUGCUUUACCCUCUACUAAGCCUAACAUUCCUAAUUUAAUAGCUAUUUUUGUUUGAGACUUAAAAACUGUGCGCAUUGAAGGAAUGUUUUGCCGUUGAGGAAAUGCCAGCCCCUCUCCUAGGAAAGGGGUGCUCGGCUCCUGGUCCACUGGCAGUGGCUGGAACAGAACCACAGCCUGCUGAAUCCCAGGAAAUUCAUGAUGUCCCUGUGCAGAGCCCUCUGACUAAUCAGCGAUCCCACAAUGCCUGUAGCAGAAGCAUAGUUAGGUGAGAGUUUUAUCCUGAAUGUAAGAGGUGGCCAGGUCCUUAGUUCCCUGAGGUUCCGUGAGUCGGGGGUAAAGGAAGCAGCCCUCACACAGAGUAAUUUACCAAGCCUGAGAGGGAACCAAGAGGACUGUUUGAGAGUCAGCCACUUCCAAACCUUGGUGGACAUAACGAGGGUCUCUACUACAAUAAGCAGGACUUGUAAUAUGUAAAAUUAUUAUGAGUGCUGCUUUUAUGGGAAAAUAUUCACAUUAAAAUAUAAUUUAACUCUGGUGAAGUAAUUAAACAGUAAAUCAGUGAUGGCUUCUAUUAAAAAUUAAGUCAUCGUAAUUAUGUGAAUGCCUUUAGAAGGAUUUUCCGCAGUGUCCUGGCGUUGGCCUUGAGUGGACUUCUCAAAAAGUAGAAGUAACCAGGUUUCUGCCUGUGAGGAAAUGUAAAUUGCAUCAUUGCUUCCUUUAAUAAAUUUUCAUUUUAAAUGGGCUUUGAAAAAUAGGAAUUUUCUCUCUGUUUUAAAGUAAAAAACACACUUUUCACUUAAAUAUGUUUCUAAAUUUCUAUUUCCACUGUAGUCAUUAGCUGGACAUGUGCCGCUCCAAAAGAGAAUGUUAACCUUCGUCUCUUUUGUCGUCAUAAAUGCACAUUCAUGUUUUACAGAGUGCUUCCCUGCAGCAGAUAAAUAUUGAAACCAUUAACACCUUUUGAUGUAUGGUACAGUCUGCAUCUUAGACCCACACAUGGCUGGCCGGCUGUGGUCCCUCCGUGCCGCACACCUGGCCGGGGACCCUGACUCUUCUCUGAGGACAGUGAGCAGCAGUAAUGCCUGUUUCCUUUUCUGGAAAACAGGAUUCUUUUUGAAAAUUUCAUCAGAAGGUGGUGUUUAUUUGUAUUAAAGCAAUGCAUUUAAAUAUUA